AACUUGGCAAAAAUGUGCAACAGGGGGAUGAAGUUGGAUGUUGCUGAGUGUGCGAAAAUGUCCAGAGUAAAUGGAUGAGGUGCAGUCCACUGUUCACCAACCACCUCAGGAUUACGAUUGGUCUGUAUCUUGGCAUGACCCCUCGCAUGGACAUGACAUGGGUCAUAUUUAUUGUCAUGCAUUGUACAGCUAGCUUUCACUCUAGUCUGGCUUCCAUCUCUACCACCUACAACCUGUUUUAGCCCUUAAGUAGUUUUUCAGCAACAACUUCAACAAGCCCGUAACCUAGUUUCUGUGACCAUAUGUUUAUCAAAUUUUUAUAGCCACUUCAGCACCUUCUCAUCAGUGUUGUUUUAAAAUGUUAUGUUAUACACUUUGAGAACAAAAAAUAAACGAACCUUUCUUUGUUCAACGAUCUUAUUCCUCUUCAUUACAAAUGAAUACAUACCCAAUAAGACAAUUCAUUACAAUUAGAAUUUUUCAUCGGUAGAGGGCCCUAUUGCCCUUGUUAAGUUCCAUUUCAUGAGAACUCAACCAGACACGUUAUAAAGGAGCUUGGUCAGUUGAAGAUGACGGGUCAGAGAAUUUCGACAAGUUCAGCUUGGGACCAAUAUGUGGAUACAGACAUUUAAUUUUCGAUGCGUUUAGUCACACGUAGGCUACUGUCCAACGUUUCUUGUCCCCUGACUUCUCAAACCAUUGCUUUCCCUUAAAUUGUACGUUCCUGGGACCAAAACGUACAUUGUGUCUCGGAAAUGCAGUGCCUGUUGAAAUAAAGGUCCUGUCAGACGAUCAGCGGUAAAUUUCCGUGUAAAAAUGUAGUGAUAAUUGUUGUUAUUCAUACGUUUUAUGGUUGUGUGUCGUAUGAAAAAUAAAAAAGCAGACGCUUCAUUGCCUACACGGGCACAUUCAGUUCGAACUUUUAUUUUGGUCACAUUUGUCUCUGCCUGCAUUGAGGGAAAAGUCCUCUUGGCGCUUGUUCCAUCACCAGUGUGCUUCAACGCCUCUGUGUGGUUACUCAGAUUUUCAGAAGUCUCAGCUAAAGACUGCUGGAAGGGUGGAUUUUUCCUUGCUCAGGUCCUACAAGAGGUAGCAGAACCUGACAAGCGUGUGGCUGAAGGGGCAUUCAAAGAAGGAUCCAGAAGACAAGUUUUUUUUUUUUUUCCCCAAAGGAUAUCCAGUCAAAAGCACAGUCACUGGGGAACUAUUGAGGACCGAGUCCACGCUAACACACCAAUCUCUCAACACGGGAGGCUCUCCUAG
rnacentral:lncRNA from 1 species